GAUGAACGCUGGCGGCGUGCCUAAUACAUGCAAGUCGAGCGAACAGACGAGGAGCUUGCUCCUCUGACGUUAGCGGCGGACGGGUGAGUAACACGUGGAUAACCUACCUAUAAGACUGGGAUAACUUCGGGAAACCGGAGCUAAUACCGGAUAAUAUAUUGAACCGCAUGGUUCAAUAGUGAAAGACGGUUUUGCUGUCACUUAUAGAUGGAUCCGCGCCGCAUUAGCUAGUUGGUAAGGUAACGGCUUACCAAGGCGACGAUGCGUAGCCGACCUGAGAGGGGGAUAGGCCGCACUGGAACGGAGACACGGUCCAGACUCCUACGGGAGGCAGCAGUAGGGAAUCUUCCGCAAUGGGCGAAAGCCUGACGGAGCAACGCGGCGUGAGUGGUGAAGGUCUUCGGAUCGGAAAACUCUGUUAUUAGGGAAGAACAAAUGUGUAAGUAACUAUGCACGUCUUGACGGUACCUAAUCAGAAAGCCACGGCUAACUACGUG
rnacentral:rRNA from 1 species